CCCCUCCAGAUCCCUUUCCCAUCAGAUCUGAAUACCGAUCUCGUGGUCGAAAAAGGAGGAAGAGCAAAACGCAGCCUGGCCUGGGCCUCUCUGCUCAUGCGGCCGUGCUCUGAGGAGGGUCAGGUUGCAGACACGG
rnacentral:snoRNA from 1 species